rnacentral:lncRNA from 1 species
CCCAAUUCAACCCAUCCCAGCCUAUUGUAUCCAGGCAGGCUAGGGUCAGGGUAAGAAACAAUCCCAAUUCAACCCAUCCCAGCCUAUUGUAUCCCGGCAGGCUAGGGUCAGGGUAAGAAACAAUCCCAAUUCAACCCAUCCCAGCCGAUUGUCAGGCAAGGGGUUCGGGUCAGGGUAAGAAACAAUCCCAAUUCAACCCAUCCCAGCCUAUUGUAUCCCGGCAGGCUAGGGUCAGGGUAAGAAACAAUCCCAAUUCAACCCAUCCCAGCCGAUUGUAUCCAGGCAGGCUAGGGUCAGGGUAAGAAACAAUCCCAAUUCAACCCAUCCCCAGCCACUUGU